rnacentral:rRNA from 1 species
AUUUAGCGGCGGACGGGUGAGUAACACGUGGGCAACCUACCUGUAAGACUGGGAUAACUUCGGGAAACCGGAGCUAAUACCGGAUAAUUUCUUUUCUCGAUGAGAAGGAUGGAAAGACGGUUUCGGCUGUCAUUACAGAUGGGCCCGCGCGCAUUAGCUAGUUGGUGAGGUAACGGCUCACCAAGGCCACGAUGCGUAGCCGACUGAGAGGGUGAUCGGCCCACUGGGACUGAGACACGGCCCAGACUCCUACGGGAGGCCAGUAGGGAAUCUUCCGCAAUGGACGAAAGUCUGACGGAGCAACGCCGCGGAGCGAAGAAGGCCUUCGGGUCGUAAAGCUCUGUUGUUGGGAAGAACAAGUACCAGAGUAACUGCUGGUACCUUGACGGUACCUAACCAGAAAGCACGGCUAACUACGUGCCAGCAGCCGCGGUAAUACGUAGGUGGCAAGCGUUGUCCGGAAUUAUUGGGCGUAAAGCGCGCGCAGGUGGUCUUAAGUCUGAUGUGAAAGCCCCGGCUCAACCGUGGAGGGUCAGGAAACUGGGGAACUUGUGCAGAAGAGGAAAGUGGAAUUCCACGUGUAGCGGUGAUGUUUUUUAGAUGUGGAGGAACACCAGUGGCGAAGGCGACUUCUGGUCUGCAACUGACACUGAGGCGCGAAAGCGUGGGGAGCGAACAGGAUUAGAUACCCUGGUAGUCACGCCGUAAACGGAGUGCUAAGUGUUAGAGGGUUUCCGCCCUUUAGUGCUGCAGCUAACGCAUUAAGCACUCCGCCUGGGGAGUACGGCCGCAAGGCUGAAACUCAAAGGAAUUGACGGGGGCCCGCACAAGCGGUGGAGCAUGUGGUUUAAUUCGAACAACGCGAAGAACCUUACCAGGUCUUGACAUCCUCUGCCACUCCUAGAGAUAGGA